GCGAGGAGGCGCAGCGGAAGCAUAAGAACGAUGUUACCGAGGAAAGCGAGAUGUGACCCCUGAGAUCCAAAGAGGGGAAAUGAUUUUCUAAGGCUUUCAAGGGUGUUGGAACCAGCUGAGGACUCCUCAGGGGAGAAAGGUGAUAUUCUCUCUCAAGGGAGAAUAUCUUGUUAGAUAUUCUGACAAGAAUAUCUGAGAAUUAAUCCAGCGUGUCCUCGCUACGCGCUUGGUUAGUGGUUCACAAGUGUGCUUCUGGACCAGCAGCAGACUCCCUGAUGACAUGCAGUGCUGGAGAUAGAUCAUUCUAUCACAGAAUGUUGGAAGAAUACCUGGCCUGGAGUCAGAGACAGAAAAAGUGAAUGGACCAAAGGCCCAGUCUCCUCAGGGCUCCUGGACCAGCUUCUACCUCUACCUAUCGCCUUUCUCGGCUCAUACCUUGGGCAAGGCCUCGAGUACCACUACUCAAAGGGACAGCCACCUGUGACCACAGCUGGCACCUGGAGAUACACGGCUCCUUGCCCAGCAGCCUGCAGCCACACUUGCUCUUACAGCCUAGAAAGACCCUGCCUCUGCGGUUCUCAUUUACUCCACCUUCCCUCUCUGGUCCUCUCAGAGCGAGCACACACAGACAGCAGCCAUCAGCUGACGGGGCCGAGCUGCUCACUCCAGUCCUGGCUGCAGUGGCAGGAGGGCCCUGAGGGAGAAGUGAGACUGAACAGGCUAAGAGGACGAAGGCAGGAAGGACUCUGAUAUGAGGUCCCAUGCCAGCCAUCUCACUUGUGAUAUGUUUAAUCUGCAAGCAAGCCUUGACAGUAGCAAGCAGCGUCCCCAAAGUACUACAGAGGGACCCGGAACUCACAGAUGAAACAAUCUGCCCCAAGCCACACCGCCUCCAAGUACACAGCUGGGGUUCAAGUCCAGGUCUUUUGGCUUUAGGGGCCCUCCUGUUCUUCUCACUCUCAUUUGCUGUGUCUUACUGAAUAGAGGAACAAAACAGAGAGCUGAAAGUCGUCAUCGUAAUCCUAAAAGCAGACACUUGUUGAACAAGACAAAACAGACAG